UUGGACCGAAAAGAAAAUGAAAAAUAGAGAAUAAGCUAGGAAACCGGCCAUCUCACUUCUUAAUUAAGAAGUUUUCGGGCUUGUCUUAGUGACCACGUGUAGGGCAACCAGAGAUGGCGUCGUUUUUGGCUUGUUUGGUUUCUUCUUUCUCUUGGUCAAAACUUCUCGUCUCCUUGGCUCUUCGACAGCGAAUCUGUUCGUUUCUGCGACAAACCCCACGAGAGAAAUGGAGAGAGAGUCAUCGAUGGAGAAGAGCACGCAGGAGUACGAUGGAUUGAGUCAACACAGAGACGAGAAUCAAUUGGGACUAUCGGUGAUGAUAUGGAGGAUGUACAUGACGAGGUGAUACGAGAAGUACUAGCUAAUGAUCAAGUUAAAGGUCCAGAGCAGUACAGGUCCAGGCUCACUGCAAUAAAUGGAUGAAACCGCCUCCAGGUCCAGGCUCACUGCAGAACCAUUCUUAAUGCAGAAAGAGAGAGGAGUGAUGCCAUUGAUGCUACAGACGCUGAGGUUGCUCUAGGAACAUCCAGGAAGAACAGACUUGCUUCUGCCAACGCGAAUGCUCAGAAACUUGAAGCUGUGAGCUUCUCAAGAGUUUUGUCUCAGAGGCUGUGCAGCGUGCAGCUAUAAUAGCAGAAUGGUUUUGCAUCCGGGUUGGGCUCUUAUCUAUUUCAUCGUUUAGGGCUUUCCUUCUGCUUUUGUUUGCGGGGAGGACUGUUCGUUGGUCGGGCUGGUGUCGUUCCGGUUCCGUUCCAUCUUCUUCUCGGGUUUGUUUCUCUUGAAACUUGUGGAAUAGAGUUGGCUCCAUAGUUGGUUUGUUCUUCAUCACAUCCAAACUCUGGUAAUUUUGCAUCACUGUGUUUGAUUACUACUUUAUAGGUUAUUUCUACUCAAGUCUAUGGGUAAAGUUUGGUGUUGUUGCAUAACUAGGCUUAGGAUUAUAAUCAGUUUGUGCAUAACAUUUUCAACUUUCCUUUUGGCUCUGUAAUGAAUUUUUUUUAACAAUGUUUAUUUUGGGAUUGAAAAUUAACAUUUCAUGUUUAACUAAGAACCAACAAACAUAUC